rnacentral:rRNA from 1 species
UGGGGAAUCUUCCGCAAUGGACGAAAGUCUGACGGAGCAACGCCGCGUGAGUGAUGACGGCCUUCGGGUUGUAAAGUUCUGUUAAUCGGGACGAAUGGUUCUUGUGCAAAUAGUGCGAGGAUUUGACGGUACCGGAAUAGAAAGCCACGGCUAACUACGUGCCAGCAGCCGCGGUAAUCCGUAGGUGGCAAGCGUUGUCCGGAAUUAUUGGGCGUAAAGCGCGCGCAGGCGGAUUGGUCAGUCUGUCUUAAAAGUUCGGGGCUUAACCCCGUGAUGGUAUGGAAACUGCCAAACUAGAGUAGCGGAGAGGAAAGUGGAAUUCCUAGUGUAGCGGUGAAAUGCGUAGAUAUUAGGAAGAACACCAGUGGCGAAGGCGACUUUCUGGACGAAAACUGACGCUGAGGCGCGAAAGCCAGGGGAGCGAACGGG